GAUGAACGAGGGAGGCGUGCCUAAUACAUGCAAGUCGAGCGAACGGACGAGAAGCUUGCUUCUCUGAUGUUAGCGGCGGACGGGUGAGUAACACGUGGAUAACCUACCUAUAAGACUGGGAUAACUUCGGGAAACCGUAGCUAAUACCGGAUAAUAUUUUGAACCGCAUGGUUCAAAAGUGAACGACGGUCUUGCUGUCACUUAUAGAUGGAUCCGCGCUGCAUUAGCUAGUUGGUAAGGUAACGGCUUACCAAGGCAACGAUGCAUAGCCGACCUGAGAGGGUGAUCGGCCACACUGGAACUGAGACACGGUCCAGACUCCUACGGGAGGCAGCAGUAGGGAAUCUUCCGCAAUGGGCGAAAGCCUGACGGAGCAACGCCGCGUGAGUGAUGAAGGUCUUCGGAUCGUAAAACUCUGUUAUUAGGGAAGAACAUAUGUGUAAGUAACUGUGCACAUCUUGACGGUACCUAAUCAGAAAGCCACGGCUAACUACGUG
rnacentral:rRNA from 1 species